rnacentral:SRP_RNA from 1 species
CGUCGGUCCCCUGGUAACGAUUAUUUGUGAACCUAGUCAGGCCGGAAGGGAGCAGCCACCACGGGAACAUUGUAUGCCGGGUGUGGCUGCUGGGC